CCUGGCUCAGGAUGAACGCUAGCUACAGGCUUAACACAUGCAAGUCGAGGGGCAGCAUGGUCUUAGCUUGCUAAGGCCGAUGGCGACCGGCGCACGGGUGAGUAACACGUAUCCAACCUGCCGUCUACUCUUGGACAGCCUUCUGAAAGGAAGAUUAAUACAAGAUGGCAUCAUGAGUCCGCAUGUUCACAUGAUUAAAGGUAUUCCGGUAGACGAUGGGGAUGCGUUCCAUUAGAUAGUAGGCGGGGUAACGGCCCACCUAGUCUUCGAUGGAUAGGGGUUCUGAGAGGAAGGUCCCCCACAUUGGAACUGAGACACGGUCCAAACUCCUACGGGAGGCAGCAGUGAGGAAUAUUGGUCAAUGGGCGAGAGCCUGAACCAGCCAAGUAGCGUGAAGGAUGACUGCCCUAUGGGCUGUAAACUUCUUUUAUAAAGGAAUAAAGUCGGGUAUGGAUACCCGUUUGCAUGUACUUUAUGAAUAAGGAUCGGCUAACUCCGUGCCAGCAGCCGCGGUAAUACGGAGGAUCCGAGCGUUAUCCGGAUUUAUUGGGUUUAAAGGGAGCGUAGAUGGAUGUUUAAGUCAGUUGUGAAAGUUUGCGGCUCAACCGUAAAAUUGCAGUUGAUACUGGAUAUCUUGAGUGCAGUUGAGGCAGGCGGAAUUCGUGGUGUAGCGGUGAAAUGCUUAGAUAUCACGAAGAACUCCGAUUGCGAAGGCAGCCUGCUAAGCUGCAACUGACAUUGAGGCUCGAAAGUGUGGGUAUCAAACAGGAUUAGAUACCCUGGUAGUCCACACGGUAAACGAUGAAUACUCGCUGUUUGCGAUAUACUGCAAGCGGCCAAGCGAAAGCGUUAAGUAUUCCACCUGGGGAGUACGCCGGCAACGGUGAAACUCAAAGGAAUUGACGGGGGCCCGCACAAGCGGAGGAACAUGUGGUUUAAUUCGAUGAUACGCGAGGAACCUUACCCGGGCUUAAAUUGCAGAUGAAUUACGGUGAAAGCCGUAAGCCGCAAGGCAUCUGUGAAGGUGCUGCAUGGUUGUCGUCAGCUCGUGCCGUGAGGUGUCGGCUUAAGUGCCAUAACGAGCGCAACCCUUGUUGUCAGUUACUAACAGGUUCCGCUGAGGACUCUGACAAGACUGCCAUCGUAAGAUGUGAGGAAGGUGGGGAUGACGUCAAAUCAGCACGGCCCUUACGUCCGGGGCUACACACGUGUUACAAUGGGGGGUACAGAGGGCCGCUACCACGCGAGUGGAUGCCAAUCCCCAAAACCUCUCUCAGUUCGGACUGGAGUCUGCAACCCGACUCCACGAAGCUGGAUUCGCUAGUAAUCGCGCAUCAGCCACGGCGCGGUGAAUACGUUCCCGGGCCUUGUACACACCGCC
rnacentral:rRNA from 1 species